rnacentral:rRNA from 1 species
AUGCUACAGUAUACAAGUUCAACUCCAAGGGACUUUCCGUUCACGUUUUUACAACGUAUCACAAAUGAUUUUUGUAAGGAGCGCAUAAUUGGUCGUGGUGGGUUCGGAGUAGUUUAUAAGGAUGUACAUGAUAAUGGGGAAGUGGUUGCUGUGAAGAAACUUUACAACCUGCUUGGACUAGACGACGGACAAUUUAAGAACGAGCUUCUGAAUCUCAUGAGGGUCCAACAUCCAAAUAUCAUACGGUUGGUUGGCUACUGCUCUGAAACACGAGAUGUAGUUGUUGAGCACAAUGGAAAACUCAUUCUUGCUAGCAUGGAAGAAAGAGCUCUCUGUUUGGAAUACAUGCAUGGUGGAACCCUUGACAAGCUUAUUUCUGAUGAAUCAAGCGGACUUGAUUGGGGUGCACGUUACAAAGUAAUUAAAGGGAUAUGUAAGGGUUUAAAGCACCUGCACACAGGAUCCAAAGAUCCUAUCUACCAUCUGGACUUAAAACCUGCCAACAUAUUACUGGAUAAGGACAUGACACCCAAAAUUGGAGACUUCGGGAUGUCAAGACUAUUUGGUUCAGGUUUUUCCGGACGGAGGGAGGGAGUAUGA